rnacentral:rRNA from 1 species
GUGUAAGCGAAGCGAUAAGUGGAGCGGUGAAAGGCUCAGUAACGGGCAAUUUAUUUGAUCUCCUGGGACGGACAACAUGGGGAAACUGAUGGGAAAACGUCUAAGUUGCAGUUUAUUGAUUGUGACGUAAACCUUUGUGUGCAGGAGAGUAAGAUGCCAUCCUAUCAGUUAGUAAGUAGGGUAAGGGCCUACUUAGACGAAGACGGGUACGGGGAAUGAGGGUUUGAUUCCGGAGAAGGAGCCUGAGAGAUGGCUACCAGGACCAAGGUCAGCAGCAGGCGCGAAAAUUAUCGAAGCCCGCCUAGGGGCGAUAGUGAGGAGACGUGUAUACGAAGUACGUGUAAAGACCGUACUAAUAACUGGAGGUCAAGUCUGGUGCCAGCAGCCGCG